rnacentral:rRNA from 1 species
AUUGAACGCUGGCGGCAGGCCUAACACAUGCAAGUCGAGCGGAUGAAGGGAGCUUGCUCCUGGAUUCAGCGUCGGACGGGUGAGUAAUGCCUAGGAAUCUGCCUGGUAGUGGGGGAUAACGUCCGGAAACGGGCGCUAAUACCGCAUACGUCCUGAGGGAGAAAGUGGGGGAUCUUCGGACCUCACGCUAUCAGAUGAGCCUAGGUCGGAGUAGCUAGUUGGUGGGGUAAAGGCCUACCAAGGCGACGAUCCGUAACUGGUCUGAGAGGAUGAUCAGUCACACUGGAACUGAGACACGGUCCAGACUCCUAAGGGAGGCAGCAGUGGGGAAUAUUGGACAAUGGGCGAAAGCCUGAUCCAGCCAUGCCGCGUGUGUGAAGAAGGUCUUCGGAUUGUAAAGCACUUUAAGUUGGGAGGAAGGGCAGUAAGUUAAUACCUUGCUGUUUUGACGUUACCAACAGAAUAAGCACCGGCUAACUUCGUG